rnacentral:lncRNA from 1 species
GGCAGCCCGAGGUCGCUUCCUCUCCAGGCUCUCCAAUUUCUGUGCCGUAGUUAAAGCGAGCAGGGGCGCCCCUUCCUGCACCUGGGAGUAGAGGGCAGUUCCUCUGUAUGACGGGGGAGAGGCCUUAACAUUCGCGGUCUUACCUGGUUCCCCGCGUGCAGAGCCGGCUUGGUGCCUGGCAGGGGCUGCAGGUGUUUCAAACAUGACUUCGCAGCGAGACUCUUGGCCAGCGCCAACCCAGACCAUCGGGACAGUUGUCCCUUCCUGGGUCUAGGGAGCUGCCCUGAAAAGGGGCCCACGGGGAGGGCCUUGGGGUCAGCAGGGGCAGAGAGUGACCGCCGGCCCCCCUUACACAGGGGCCACACUGCUGCUCCGAGGCCUGUGUGCCAACACCGUGCUGCGCUUUCUGGACUUAAAGGGCAACAACCUUCGGGCUGCAGGGGCCGAGGCUCUGGGAAAACUCCUCCAACAGAACAAGUCCAUUCAGAGCCUCACGCUGGAGUGGAACAGCCUGGGCACGUGGGACGAUGCCUUCGCCACCUUCUGCGGGGGCCUGGCGGCCAACGGCGCCCUGCAGCGGCUGGACCUCCGCAACAACCAGAUCAGUCACAAGGGCGCGGAGGAGCUGGCCCUAGCCCUGAAGGGCAACACCACCCUCCAGCAGCUGGACCUGCGCUGGAAUAACGUUGGCCUCCUGGGGGGCCGGGCCCUCAUGAACUGUCUCCCCAGC